GAAAUUCAGGGUUGACUCUGAAAGAGGAAAGCGUAAUAUACGCCACCUCGCGACAGUGAGCUGAAAGCCGCGUCGCAACUGCUCUUUAACAAUUUAUCAGACAAUCUGUGUGGGCACUCGAANGGGAUAACUACUGGAAACGGUAGCUAAUACCGCAUAACGUCGCAAGACCAAAGAGGGGGACCUUCGGGCCUCUUGCCAUCGGAUGUGCCCAGAUGGGAUUAGCUAGUAGGUGGGGUAACGGCUCACCUAGGCGACGAUCCCUAGCUGGUCUGAGAGGAUGACCAGCCACACUGGAACUGAGACACGGUCCAGACUCCUACGGGAGGCAGCAGUGGGGAAUAUUGCACAAUGGGCGCAAGCCUGAUGCAGCCAUGCCGCGUGUAUGAAGAAGGCCUUCGGGUUGUAAAGUACUUUCAGCGGGGAGGAAGGGAGUAAAGUUAAUACCUUUGCUCAUUGACGUUACCCGCAGAAGAAGCACCGGCUAACUCCGUGCCAGCAGCCGCGGUAAUACGGAGGGUGCAAGCGUUAAUCGGAAUUACUGGGCGUAAAGCGCACGCAGGCGGUUUGUUAAGUCAGAUGUGAAAUCCCCGGGCUCAACCUGGGAACUGCAUCUGAUACUGGCAAGCUUGAGUCUCGUAGAGGGGGGUAGAAUUCCAGGUGUAGCGGUGAAAUGCGUAGAGAUCUGGAGGAAUACCGGUGGCGAAGGCGGCCCCCUGGACGAAGACUGACGCUCAGGUGCGAAAGCGUGGGGAGCAAACAGGAUUAGAUCCCCUGGUAGUCCACGCCGUAAACGAUGUCGACUUGGAGGUUGUGCCCUUGAGGCGUGGCUUCCGGAGCUAACGCGUUAAGUCGACCGCCUGGGGAGUACGGCCGCAAGGUUAAAACUCAAAUGAAUUGACGGGGGCCCGCACAAGCGGUGGAGCAUGUGGUUUAAUUCGAUGCAACGCGAAGAACCUUACCUGGUCUUGACAUCCACNGUGAGACAGGUGCUGCAUGGCUGUCGUCAGCUCGUGUUGUGAAAUGUUGGGUUAAGUCCCGCAACGAGCGCAACCCUUAUCCUUUGUUGCCAGCGGUCCGGCCGGGAACUCAAAGGAGACUGCCAGUGAUAAACUGGAGGAAGGUGGGGAUGACGUCAAGUCAUCAUGGCCCUUACGACCAGGGCUACACACGUGCUACAAUGGCGCAUACAAAGAGAAGCGACCUCGCGAGAGCAAGCGGACCUCAUAAAGUGCGUCGUAGUCCGGAUUGGAGUCUGCAACUCGAUUCCAUGAAGUCGGAAUCGCUAGUAAUCGUGGAUCAGAAUGCCACGGUGAAUACGUUCCCGGGCCUUGUACACACCGCCCGUCACACCAUGGGAGUGGGUUGCAAAAGAAGUAGGUAGCUUAACCUUCGGGAGGGCGCUUACCACUUUGUGAUUCAUGACUGGGGUGAAGUCGUAACAAGGUAACCGUAGGGGAACCUGCGGUUG
rnacentral:rRNA from 1 species